rnacentral:rRNA from 1 species
AUGUCCCCGAAGAAGCGCCUGCGCUUGUCGUCCGCUGGUCCCAAACCAGAAGACAACGUCGAGGAAGCAACUCCCGAUGUCUCUACCUCUGGCACAGAAGAUUCCGAGGAGGAAGAUAGCGACAGUGACAGCAGCAGCAGCAGCAGCGGUGAGGACAGCAAAGACGACGGUGGCAGCCAUUCGUUGCCGAUUGACGGCACCCACAUGGACGACUCAUCUGGAAUGCAUAUCUUUGUCAAGAACCCCACCGGCAGGACAAUCCGACUCAAGGUCCACUCAUCAGACACCCUGUACACCAUCAAGGCAAAGAUCCAGCAGCAGUACUGCCUCGUAUUUGACGGGGUGCAUCUAGAAGACAACCAUACAUUGGCCCAUUAUGGCAUCCAGCAUGACACUACGAUUGACCCCCAAGAAAAAAUGAAAAUCUACGUGACGGAGACACGGGGUGGCAGGACCAUCGCAAUCGAGGUCGACAGCCUAGACACCAUUGGCAACGUGAAGUCCAAGAUCCAGGACAUGGAGGGCUUUCCCAAGGGCCAGCAGUGCCUCAUCUUCGCCGACAAACAGCUGGAGGACGACAACUGCACCUUGGCUGCCCACAACAUCUGGAAGGAGUCCACCCUCCUCCUUGUCCUCCGCCCGUGUAGGCCAGCAGAAAGUAAGAUAAUGCAGAUCUUUGUCAAGAAUCUCGAAGGGAAGACCCUCACCCUUGAAGUCGGGCAAUGGGACACCAUCAACAGCGUCAAGGUGAAGAUCUACGAGAAGGACGCCAUUCCACCUAGACAGCAGCGACUCACUUUUGCUGGCAGGCAGGUGGAGGACCACCGCACCCUGGCGGACUACAAGAUUCAGAGGGAGUGUACCCUUCAUUUGAUGCUUCGCCUUUGUGGUUGUUGA